CAGGGUAUUCAUACAAAUCAAAUAUUUGCUCCACUUUGGUUUCCCAUUCAAAAUAAUCAUCAGCAUUCUCCUUGCCGCUGAAUGGAGGAAUGGACACUUUAACCUUGCUCAAACCAUCAUCAUUGUGACGUCGUUCAUGAUGACACCAACGGUGAUCACCAUCACGACCAUGGGCUCCAAAAUGGCCAAAGUUGUCACCACCAUGAUCAUCAUAUCC
rnacentral:lncRNA from 1 species